GACGUACCUUUCAAAUUUUAUUCUAGUUAGUGUUUUAGCUGAACUGAUUAUUUUAGACUUAAGAGGAGGAGUAGAAGUGGUUACAUAUAUAAGAGAUUCAUCGAUACAGUAUAUUCAGUAUACUUCAACAGAUUUUACAAUCUAGACUUUUUUUAAUAAAAUUAAUUUAAUUUUGAAAAAAUGUCCUGCUACUCAUUUAAAAGCGAUGACGAGGAGUCGGUUGUAUUUUCCGAAGAUAAUAUUGCAACAACAUCUCAAAAAAAAGGUACAUCGAAAAGGUUAGCUGUAAAACCGGAGAAGAAACCAGUAUCGAAAAAGACGAAAAAGACAAAAUAUUAGAUUUAAUAACAGAUCCAACUAUACCAACCGGUGCAGAGAACACCUUGAAUAUAAAAAAGGAUGAUUGUUCAUUAACGGUUAAGACACCUGUAGACAAUACGGCUGUAGAUUACUGGACUAUAGCACAUUAUAAAUGUGCUAAAAUUGCUAAUUU